rnacentral:rRNA from 1 species
UACGUAGGGAGCAAGCGUUGUCCGGAAUCAUUGGGCGUAAAGCGCGCGUAGGCGGCCCGGUAAGUCCGCUGUAAAAGUCCAGGGCUCAACCCUGGAAAGCCGGUGGAUACUGUCGGGCUAGAGUCCGGAAGAGGCGAGUGGAAUUCCUGGUGUAGCGGUGGAAUGCGCAGAUAUCAGGAGGAACACCGAUGGCGAAGGCAGCUCGCUGGGACGGUACUGACGCUGAGACGCGAAAGCGUGGGGAGCGAACAGG